UUUUAAUACCCAAAACCCCAAACCCUCAGCCCAGUUUCAUUUGUCAUGCCCUCUCACCCCUUUUCGUCUCUCUCAAACGAAUCAAACACCCCGCCGAAACCCUAGCGCCGCCCACCAUUCCAUCGCCCAAAAACUCGGUGGUCAGUGCUCUGUUCACCGCCAAAAUCACACCCGAAAAUCCCCACGACCUCCCCGUCCCAAAUCACCAACAGUCGUCCUUCGAAUACUGCCAAAAUUACUCGAAUCUUAGAUCGUAGGAUGAACACCAAAAUCCCCAAAUGUCAAACAUCCAAGUUUCUAGGCUUUGAGGCUGAGAUAGACUAUAAUCGGGUGUUUUCAGUCGAAAACAUGCGAUUAAGGUCCGUCUCAGUCCAAGAUAAGCGUCAUAUCAAAGAAGACAAAAGGUUUGAGCCUUGUUAUCGUGGUGGUCUCAUUUUUAGGUAUUUCCUUGUUCUCCUCUUCUUCUGUGUCAUUUUAAUUUUUAGUUUUAUCAGUUAAUUAUCUCCUCCUCUUCUCCAACCUUGUUCUUGGUCCAAAUUUUCUUUUGUUAAUUAUCAUAUGUUAUAAAUGGUUUAAUCGAUUAAAUAAGUUUCGUCCAUUAGUCCAUUAUGUUUGAGUGUUAGCGAUGUUGAUUAUGUUAUAAUGGUUUCCCGAGAUAAGCGGCAUAUCAAAGUUAAAGACAAGAGGUUCGAGCCUUGUUAUCUUGGUGGUCUCAUUUUUAGGUAUUUCCUUGUAUUCCUCUUCUUUUGUUCCAUUUUAAUUUGUCGUUUUCAUCAGUUAACUAUCUCCUCCUCUUAUGCGACCCUGCUCUUGGUCCAAACUUUCUUUUGUUAAUUAUCAUAUGUUAUAAAUUGUUUAAUCGAUUAAAUAAGUGUCGUCGAUUAGUCCAUUAUGUUUGAGUGUUAGCGAUGUUGAUUAUGUUAUACUGGUUUAGUUUUCGGUUUUUAUUUCAUAAUUCAUUCUAGUCUGUUUCUCAUACUACUGUGUGUUGGAAAUGAGCCUGAUGAUAUGUUGGAACUUAGAACCGAGCCUAUUGAUAUAUUCAGUUUAUCUCAUGAACUGAAUUGAUUGCUCAUUUUGUCUGUCAAAUUCCCUUAAUGCUCUUCUGAUUGUUUCUUCUUUUGUUUUCCAAUUCGAUUGGGUGUAUAGUUGGUUCACUUGUUUUUGUUAUAUGUAAGAUUGGUUCCCCAAUACAAAUUAGUUUAAUGAAUGCUAUCAUGAACCAUUGGUCUUCAUGUUUGGUAUCAUUUUUUAUUUGAUUUGAGUUUCUUCUUUGAAUUACUUAUUUUGGACUAAAGAUUGGCUAUAGCUUUUAAUUAUAGAAUGGUUUUAGAUAAUUAGAUGUUUGAUUCUGUUUGCCGAUGUUCUGAAUCAGAACAGUAGCAGUCAGUAGGAUUCAGGGGUAAUUUGGGAAUUGAAAAAUGAGAAAAUGUUCAGUUUGGAAUAGCUGCCAGUUGAAUGGUUUGGGGGCCAUUGAACCAUUGAAUAAUUUAAUUAAAAAGGGGGACUGUGGGGUCCAUGCUGACUACUUUUACUUAAUCGGACAUUAGAAAUAGUAUAGGUAAUAAUAAUAAAGUUAAAAGGUGCACAUAGUUAAAGGAAUAUUCGGCUGGAAAGUAAAAUGAGUAGUAAUAAUCUGUAAAAAGAAAAAGGAAAUGGCCUGAAAUGGGGACUGCUUUAGGUAUAAAAUAUGGGUAAUUUGACAGUUAAUGGGGAGAGAUUUUUGGAAGGAAAAUUUCAGAACUUAAGAGCUCAGGACUGGAUUUUGAAGAUGGAAGUCCAGAGCUUAAAGAGUGAAUUGAGGCUGAACUUUGCAAACAAAGAAAAAUUUUCAAAGUUUAAGUUAAAGGACUGAAUUUUAACAUUAGAAAAUCCAGUAAUUUGAGAGAAAGAAACUGAAAAGUGAGGCCCUUUUUGUUAUCUGAUCAGGAUAGCUUGCUACUAUAUCACUGAAGCUUCACUUCUUUCUUUGAGUGUUUGAAAAUCAGAAACAUCUUGUUCCAUUGUGUUUUCUGAUUCCCCUGUUUUCUGCCAGUAAUUUUUGGUAUUUUUGGUUUUCAAGUGGUAAUAUCUGGAUUGUGCUAUCGGAUUAACUGUUACUGUUCGUUCCGAAUUGUGGGUUUUUCAAAAUCUGUCCCGCGGGUUUCAGUUGUUGGGUUUUGCUGGUUAUUACUAAAAGUUGGUUUCAUCCGUUACUGUCGCUGCUGCUCUGUUGUUGCUGCUUAAUUCUCAUCCUCCUUUUCUUCUUGUACUCCUAAUACUAGGUACACUACUUUGAAUCAACUCGAUGUAUGUUCAUUGAAGGUCAAAUGAAACGGCCAAAAGGAUUUAUGAUUCAACUAAUGAGAACCUGUAUUUAGUUAAUCUUUGUUAGGUAUUUUCCUAUUAUAUUAGUGAUAUAUGUAUGCAUAAUUAGGACUGUUCUUUUAUAAGAUCACUGUUUAACAAUAAUAUGAUGUGUGAUGUUAGAUUAUGGAACUGAAAUUCUUGAAAUGGCAUGAACAUUAGUCAGCAAAGUAUGUAAUCUUAAAUUGAGCAAUUUGUUAGAUUGUUAAGCUAGUGGAUGUGUUCCUGUAUGAACCUCAUAUUUAUUAGUUUCAGCUUUGUUAGUUCAUAUAUGUAGAAUAGUGUAGUUCAGAAUCACAUUCAAUUCGAAUUGAUGAUUAAUAAGUGUUUAGAAUUGUUUCGAUUUAGUCGAUUGGUGAGGUAUAAAUCUGAGCUCACGAAACUGGAAUAGAAGUAAUUGAAGUUUGGUGAUUUUGACUCUUGUUAGUAACAAAAAUCCGCUAGUAUUAGGCAAAUAUAAGUGGUCAUUAAUUUUAUAGAAUCAAUAGGUUUGACAUAUUUGAAGUGUG
rnacentral:lncRNA from 1 species